rnacentral:rRNA from 1 species
GCUAAUACUCUGUGUGGAUGACGGUACCGGCAUAAGAAGCACCGGCUAACUACGUGCCAGCAGCCGCGGUAAUACGUAGGGUGCGAGCGUUAAUCGGAAUUACUGGGCGUAAAGCGUGCGCAGGCGGUUGGGUAAGUUUGAUGUGAAAUCCCCGGGCUCAACCUGGGAACUGCAUUGAAGACUGCCUGACUAGAGUACGGCAGAGGGGGGUGGAAUUCCACGUGUAGCAGUGAAAUGCGUAGAGAUGUGGAGGAACACCGAUGGCGAAGGCAGCCCCCUGGGUCGAUACUGACGCUCAUGCACGAAAGCGUGGGGAGCAAACAGGAUUAGAUACCCUGGUAGUCCACGCCCUAAACGAUGUCAACUAGUUGUUGGUAGGGUUAAACCUAUUAGUAACGUAGCUAACGCGU